GUCGAUAUUUAUGAGCUCCAGGUGGUCAAGGAUCUCGUGACAACCGAAUGAGUGGCGCGCAGUUACAUCCAACAGAUGACACGUUUGAUGUCGCAUUUCAGGAGUUUUCGAUACACUCUACAAGCAAAUGUUGGGAAACAUAGAAAGUCACCUCAACUGCGAUGGAAAAGAGUAGACGUGUCCUGUCCCUAAAGUUAGAUAUGGAAGAUGGCUUCGAAUGGACCGAUUGCGCAUGACUUCAACAGAGCACUAGAAAGGAUGUACAAGGUCCAGUAUGAUACAUCCAGGAAUGUAGUUAUGUGGGUCAAGAUGGCUUU
rnacentral:lncRNA from 1 species